AACUAUGGCCAUACCAGUCUGAAAGAGCCUGAUCUCGUCAGAUCUCAGAAGUCAUGCAGACUUGGGCCUGCUUAGUUUUUGUAUGGGAGACCAACUAGGAACCUCAGGUGCUGUAAGCU